UGACGUCCAUCUUGCUUGAAGAGGAGUUUAAAGAGUUAGAAGUUUGUAUCGUGCCUCUUCAUCUCACCUAAUUAACCAGAACCCCUAAAGUGUCUGGCAGGUUAUAAAUAAUGUUUUUAAUCAUUCGCUAAUAGAACUGUAUACACUGAACAUUAGUGGGAAUUCAGAUUAUACUGCUCUUAUGUGUUGAAAGCUUCAGAAGAUGUCUUACUUUUUCUGCUUGUGCUGAGUGCCAUUAGAUGCUCUUCUUUCUUAGUUUGCCAGAACGUAGCCAAAGCAGACUAACUUCCAGUCGUCUUCGGCCACAGGGCAUCAAUACUAUUUUUUGUGUAAACGAUUUAUUGUGAAAGAUGAUCCUGGCACCAGAGAGCAGCAAGACCUCUGUCAGGGAGGAAGCCACAGGCCGACACUGAGCACUGUUGUAAAUGACAGCUCACCACUGAUGGCCCAGGCUCCUGCUUUCAGACUCCUUAUUUGAGGUGAACCUUUGGGUUACCUUUGCCUACCCCUGUGGGAAUUCUGCCAACAUCCAGAUAGAAGGAGGCUUCACAGCAGACCUGGCGUCAGUCUCGCUGAGCCUGCUCUGACCACCAGCAGGACAACACCCAGCCUGGGCAGGACCUCAUCCCGCUCUGCCUAUGACUGGCCGCCAUCUGCAAGCACCGUGCUAACUCUGAAUGUCAAGUCUCUUUGAGCCAUUUCGAGGGCUCUGUGACUGCCCCAAAGCAACCUCACCGACACACUAAAUUGUAACAGACGUGUCCCACAAAUUAAGUAUAUUCUCCUUACUAGUACUUGAAAUGUCCUUUGCUGUUGAGUUAACCAUCCGCUGGAUCGAUGGUACGAGUAAAUGCUACACUUUGGUGCCAAUGGUGUGCUGCACUUCUAAGCAGAUCCACUGUAUUUCACCGAGGUCAGGUUGUCACUAACUGAUUCCAAUUUAGGCCCCGAUUUCUGAAAUAACGAGGAUGCAGGAAAACUGAGAGCAUCGUAGAAACACUGACUGAAUGCUGCGGAAGGACUGGUGAAAACACUACUUUCCUGUUGUGGGCAGAUGGAAUGCUUUGGGAGUACUGUUCAAACUGCCCUCAGGAUUAUCUUGGAUCGUACAGACCCAGCUAACUUUUCAGUACUCUGAAUACAGACCACCGAGAGGAUCGCCUCCUUGCGUUCCUGAAACUCUUCAUUCUUUUGGUACACCCUGAUGGAGAGAUGCCAGUCUGAAACCCUCUAAAGAAAAGCACAAUUACAAUAGACAUUUCUUCAUGAUUGCUAAAAGGUAGGCAGCAGCAGUAUCGCUGAGUACCUUUUCUGGAGAAUUCGGCACAGGUACAUGCGAACUUCCAGGUAACCUGACGGCCGGACCCCCAGAUAACCUCCAUGUUUCAGUGGUCUUAGGGGGAAUGUUGGGAAACUGACAACAGCUUCAAAGGCUAGUCACUGCUUUCCCUCAAGAGCAACUUUCUUGCUUAGAGUAUGGUUGCACCAAACAGGAUGGUUUGGUGCUUUCAGGCUUCCUUUUCUUACAGGAAAAUAGGAGUCACUGCCCAAGUCACCCCUACCAUGUUAGCCUCGUGAGCACACCAGACUGUCUAGGUUUAGUUGGACCCGUUGUUCAAUUUCUGUUGCCUGCCCCUUUUCUGUAUUUUUUUUUUUUUUUUUUGGUUGCUGUUGUUGUCUAGCAUGGGUAGUGACAGUUACUGGGUUCUUUCUUUUAUCAACGGCUCCUUUACCACAGACUCUAUUCCUCCCGCUGGAAGCCUGUCAUGGUUGGAAGCUGGAAAUAAAACCACAACUGAAUAGCCAGGCACUUACUUUAACAGUCAUUUCCAACCACAGAUUAAUACUGUUACUGGAUUUGACUAACGGCUCUUAAUCAGCCCAACUGUCAUCGCUCGAGAACGUUCAUGCCAGCUCAAGACUGGCAACGUGAGCAAAUCCAAAGCAUGGUAUAGCUUUACCUCUUACUCCCUCUUUCCCUAUAGGAGCUAUAGCUCCUCUCCACCCUCAAAAGGAGCCUCUCCAAAGAGCCUGUGUCUGGUUCUCCUUAAUGAAGGGUAAAACCAAAUGGAUCAGGAAAUUAUGCACCCUCACCUGGCUGGAGGCUUUAUGCAGCUGGUCAGGGUUGCCAUGGACACCGACUGGCAUGAAGACGGCACACAGCUUUACUGUCUAAGAAAUGUGUGUGUAGCCUGUACCAAGCUCUGCCUAUCUUGUCAGCGCUGUUACAAGAAUGAGAGUCCAAAGGGAAGCUUGGGGCUUAAUGGAGGGCUAAUUCUCACCGAGAGCAAACAGAGCCAAGUUUUUCAUUUCGCUGGUUGGUCUAACAUUAUAGACUAAAGCCUAGGGCCGUUGACAGGACUUUUUUUUUUUUUUUUUUUAAAUUGAUACAAAGAUGAUACAGGCUAGCUCAAUCGAAUUCAGGUUCUACCAACUAGAGCUUUUUACAAAAAAACAAUCUAAUCCCUGCUUCCACCCAGACAGGAGAGCGGCUUUGGGGACCUGUUAACUCCGUCUCUGGGCUGUGCCAGAACCUAACCAUUACACAGAAGAAUGUAAUCCCACCCCUCCCCCUCCACUCCAUGUGUCUUUCUUUCCCUUUCCCUGCUUAACGUGAGGGCUUGUCAGAUUUCCGAGGCUUGUCUGGGCUCGAGCAUUUCUCUCACUUCAGCCUUCUCCACCGCUGCUGAGACUGCGGGAGCUCACGGCCCGUGGUCCCUGCUAUCAUUUUUUCUGAUUGAUUGCUACUGAGUUGAUGUGUGUGAAAUACAAGUAAAGACCUUAAAAAUGCGAUGCUGUACAUUCGAUAUGUCCUUGAAGGAAGAGUAAGGCAAAAAACUUCCCAGAGGGCAGUAGGUUUGAGAUACGGAAACGCUUAUAGUUUUGAGGCGGGGAGAUGGUUAAGUUUAUAAAGUGCCCACUGGGAAAGCAAAAAGACCCGAGUUCAGGUCCCAGCACUGCUGCAAAAAGACCCAAGAGCACUGGGUUGAGCACAUGAAAUUCUAGCACUGGGGUGUAGCGGGCAAGAAGAUCCUCAGUGUCCAUUGGCCAGCGAGUCUUUUGAAAUCAGUGACCUCUGGUUCCAUUGAUGGUCCUUGGCUCUGACCUCCACACACACUCACAUGCACAAAGCCUGAAGACCACACAUUUACUCACUAACUCUAGGAUUUAGUCCCGAGGGAAUCACAGAAGGCGGAAAGCCCUGGUUAUCAAACUGUGCGUCUCGGCCUCCCUUUAAAGAGUUCUUGCAAAUUUCAUUUUGACAAAUGUUUUACCUACAUGCACAACAAACAGGAAUAUCUAAGUACCAGUCAGAUCAUGAUUUGUUUUUAUAAAAGAGAAACAGAUUACAGGUAUUUCACGGGCUAAAGUGUUACAAUGCAUGAGGAGCAGUUGAAAAAUACCGGUUACGCCACAACCAACGACCAUUUUUUGGCCAAAGGCUUGUUUCUCCUUUUCUUUUUUUCUUACUAUACAAGAAUUCUCCUGAGACCGGCUUUAAGAUUAUGUAUGCCUCCCGACUUGCAUCACAUUUCACUGACUAGAUUCAGCACCGACUUAUUACAAUACUACUACUACUACUACUACUACUACUACUACUACUACUACUACUACUACUACUGAGCAGCAAACCACUGAACUGAGAAUGGGACCCCUGUUGAAGGAAUCAGAGAAAGGACUGAAAGAGCUGAAGGGCCUUGAGACUCCAUAUGUACAACAAUGCCAAUCAACCAGAGCUUCCAGGACUAAGCCACUACCCAAAGACUAUACAUGGACUGACCCUAGGCUCCAACCUCAUAGGUAGCAAUGAAUAGCCUAGUAAGAGCACCAGUGGAAGGGGAAGCCCUGGGUCCUGCUAAGACUGAACCCCCAGUGAACGUGAUUGUUGGGGGAGGGCGGUAAUGGGGGGAGGAUAGGGAGGAGAACACCCAUAUAGGAGGAGAGGGGGAGGGGUUGGGGGAUGUUGGCCCGGAAACCAGGAAAGGGAAUAACAAUUGAAAUGUAAAUAAGAAAUACCCAAGUUAGUAAAGAUGGAGAAAAAAAUAAUAAAAUGUCCAAUGCCAUCAUUUCUUCUCUCCUGCCCUAAAUAUGGAGAUCUUAUCUUCCAUUUCUUUACAUCAGUAUAAACUUCAUCUUAUUGGGUGGUUUAUAAUCGUCUAAUAUAAUUACAUACUUAGAUAUCCGAAAUACCUCGGAGUAGUGUACUCACUCCUUCAAGUUAAAAGCUUUGACAUUUGCAAAAUUUUGUCUUUACCUUCCGGUACAAAUAAGAAAGUUCUAUAAUAACCACAUUGUCGCUGUCAAAUGAGAGUACCCAGUGCACAUAAUUAAAGUCAACCUCGGGUUGGAGAGAUGUCUCAGUCCUUAACAGUGCACGCUGCUCGAAGCACCCAUGGCUGGAAGCUCACAAAAGCCUGCGCCUAUGGCUCCGUGGGGACCAGAUACCCCGGUCUCUGUAGGCAUCAGCAUUCAAGCGCACGCACCCUUACACACAUACAAUCAAAAGUAAACCUUACAUAAAAUAAUGUAUAUAAUAGACACAUUAUGAAGCUACUUUAAAAACCUGUUACUGAGCCUAGAUGCCAAGUUUCCCAUGCUGCCCUCCAACAAGCUAUUUAGCCGAGGAUGACAUUGAACUUGUGAUUUCACCCUCUGAGCCUCAGAUUACAGGCACGUGUCACCAUGACCGGCUUACAAGGUUAUCAUUCGUUUUAAACGCAGCUUUCUGGUUUGACCUGCUUCGGAAAUAUCAAAACAAAAGGGGUCUGUGCAUGGAGUUCCGUUUGAGACAGGAGAGGGCGUGGCUGCCUCGUAAAUCCGUUUGGAAGGCAGUGUCUAGUGAUGGCUCACAGACAACCACUGCUCUUUUCCUUGACUAAAACCAGCCAGCCAGCCAGCCAUACAGAGGUAGGCAUGAAACAGUUCUAGCACAUUCUGUGCUUGCUGGUCUCACAGACAAAUGUCUGCUUGCUCCCCUCUCAGAAGGCCGCAGAGAACGACAGGGGGAUAGUCAUUUCUCCCAUUCUCAGAGUUUCUUCUUGCUGACUGUUUGGAGUUCCCCUGGUAGCUGGUGUGAGGUAUUUCUUCCUGUGGCUCAGAACAAGAGUCUACAAUGGCCUUGGGGAUUAUGCUCUCGGUCCUAUGAAGUGCUAUGGCAAUAGCUACAAAGGCAGAGGUCCCCCGACACCUUGCUCCGCAGUCGGUGGGCCUCUGCCCCUAACGACCCCGCCUGGUUUCUAAGCCUCAUUUAGACGGUUUUCUGAGCUCAUCUGUGUACUCAGGGUCUUGCCAGAUUCUAAGCUUGGCUCUGGCCUUUGCAGAAGCUGUAGUGGGACAGAGGGGCAGGGACAGAAAGAACCCCAGAGUGACUAGGCAUGACUUCAUUAUUGAGUCACCCGGCCACACUGUGGAGUGUGCUAUGGCCUAAGUUUCAGUCUGAUACCUAGGACUGGGGGUGCUGUCUAGAAUCUCAGUGCUGUAGGGCCCAAGGCUUUUGACUCUGGAUUCUUCUUGUGCCUGAUGUUGUACCACUGACUACUGAAAACGCCAUCUGGCUCUAGAGGACGCUGUAGCAGCGCAGACAACAUGAUCAUCCAUACUGAUAUUGUAUACAAUCCAGAACAGAAAGCUGUGGCAUGCGACCUGCUUUACGUAACCACAAAGUACCACUGUGUGGGAUCCACACUUGACUAUUCUCACUUCAUACUUGAAACAGAGGCUGAGGGACGACUGGUAAUGAGUCACCCAGCUCGGAAAUGAUAAAGAGACCGAACUAGAGGCUGCAGAGCUGGCUCACACCACCGCCUCACUGUCCUGUGUCCUCCAGGGAAUGCAGGCUGACUGCUGGUGGACAUGUGUCAGUUACUUUCCUCACCACAAUGAACAACCUGGAGGGAGAUUUGUCUUGGCUCCCGGUUUCAGGAAAGGCAGUCCACCACAGUGAGGAAGGCGGACGGGAACAGCCACUUCUUCUACUUCUCACAUCCCAGCAUCUGCAGAGCGCUCGGCAGGAAGCAAGCCACCCAGUCUCAGCCAGUGACUUCUGUCAGCCAGGCCACAAUCCCACGACCUCUCAGAGCAGGCGGACCAGGGGGGGAUACAAAUGUUCAAACACAUGGGGCUCCAGGGGACAGUUCACGCCGAAACCAGGGUGAAGACUCAGCCUGAACAAAGUCCUUGCCUUUCUCAGGGAGUAACCAACAGGUCAAACACCAUCAAUAGAUAAAGUUUAAAGGCCAGGUAGCUCGCACUGGCUGGUUAUAACAGGAUAAUGAGGAGCCGGCAUCUGGGAGGCCGCUGAGAAGCAGAUCUCGUUGGUCAUGCGGUACUCAGUGGUUUAUUUGCCCAAUCAGUACACUGCAGGCCAGGAUUGGGCUUGCUUUUCAUGGUGCUGACGUAAGGGAACCCAGAACGGGAAGUCGUAUAGGAUGCCCGCCCUGCUGGGCCUUCCGGGUAGGGUAAAAGAAAGUCAGUUAGUGGGCUGGAGAGAUGGCUUAGUGAUUAAGAGCACUGACUGCUCUUCCAGAGGUCCCGAGUUCAAUUCUCAGGAACCACGUGGCGGCUCACAACCAUCUGUAAUGGGAUCUGGUGCCCUCUACUGGUGUGUCUGAAGAGAGCAACAGCGUGCUCAUAUAAAUCUUUAAAGGACCGCAGUCCCCAAUGACCUUUAACAACUCAAAAGGCUGAAGGAGGAGACAGUGUGCAGAGGUGGCCUCUUCCCUUUGUCCUACGAGUACAGCUUGGGCUCCAUGUGCUUGGUAAUGGCUGCUUCCCUUUACUCUGUACAAAGCAUCAAAAGUGAGGUCUUUACUCUUCAGGCUUGGACUUUCCCAUUCACUGUUCUGGACUCACUGGGGGGAAAAAAACCCAGUUCAGAUUCGGGGAUAAGAAGGACUGCAUUGUGCUCUCUGCAGAGUUCAUCCAAGUGGGACACUGGCUUCUUCCCCGUGGAAUCGUCCUAUCGGCUUCAGAAAAGACGACAAAAGAUAAGCUGGGCCCAAAGAUAAGCUGGGUCCUAGAGAAGCUAAGGCCAAACGUGGUCCUCACACAGGCUCCUGAGUAAAACCAAGACAGACACAGAACCAAACAAACAGGGAAGGGGGUCCAACUCUUCCUAUCUGAGACCCGAGAGUACCGGCUGGAUGUGGCACUCACAUAAAAAUCAAAAGAAAUUUCCAGUCCAGAUCUUCAGAUUUCUUCCAAAUGGCAGAUUUACAACCCCACAAACAGAAGAGAGGAACAGUGUAGAGUAUCGGAAUCCUCUGCUGCUACAAUCUGGUUGCAUUUUGUGUCUGACGACAGACGCUCCCAAGCUACCGAGGUUGGGACCAAUGGCUACUUACGGCUUAGGAGAGACGACCACUAAUAUGUAGCACAUUUACAUUAUGAUUAUUUUUUUAAAAGACUGCAUUUUAAAAGACUGCAGUAGAAUGGUUGUGGAUCCUCUUCAAGGAAAAAAACGGAUGCCUCUGCUCCUCGGUUUCCAGAAACUGACACUUUUUAUUUCCCACUGUAGCAUUUCCUCUAACUCCUGAAUAAUUAACCUUUAAUGACUAACCUGGUCUUCUAGGAAUGGACCUUGUGAAAUCUGCUUUUGAUUCAUGCAAUAAAUGCAGGACGCACUGAGUGUGUGCAACCUGGAGAGGCUGCAAUUCUUUCUGCAACCCGGGCCACCCUGGAAAGAGAGCAGGGAACUUGAACUUAUCACCUGAGAACCGUUUACCUGUUUCCCCGUCUCGAGCCUCAGAAGUGUCUCCUGGCACAGAGCUGACCACGAUCAGCCCAGCUUCUCAUAGAACUGCCUGUGGAACACCACUCCAACCAGCCAAAAUGGCCCCUGCCCCAGGCUGUCACUGUCAGCCCUCAGAUUGUAAGGCUACAGGUCAGAUGCGGGGGACGGGAUGCCGCACUGGCAUGGCCCUAUGCCCAAAGGCCAGCAGCCAGCCCGAUCUCUCUCCGUAUAACAGCCUGACCACCUGUCUGAGAGGGAUGACCAAUCUCAUUUCACGAGUCCUGGCGUGGAAACUAACGGUUCGCCCCAGACGCCCAAGCACUCACAUCGCAAAAGGCAAAGAAUGAAACCUCAGCUAUGAAUCUAGAACAGAUCUCUUAAGGAAGGAGCCUUCUGGUGGCCUUGGUUUAGAUCCUGCAUUACCAUUCCCAGGAUCUUAAAUGAAUUCUCUAAACAGCUAAGCAGACCAGAGAACCAGCAUCACCGGUCUUUGCCCUUUCCUGCCUUUUUUUUUUUUAAAUAGCAUAAAGAGCAUUUAUCGCUAGGAACAAAAAGGACACACGGCUACCAAUAACAGCGGAAGGAUCAGAUAGCGGCUCCUACAGAUCAACAAUGUGGAAAGCAAGGGAGGUAAACUUGGAAUUGCAAAGAUUUCAAAAUGUGCUGUUUGUAAAAACUGAACAGGCCUGGCUCCACAGUGUAAACGUCUUUGAGAUUAGCCAUAUUCUGAAAUGAGAGCAUUCUCCCAUUCUUUCGCGUGUAAACAAGGACCUCCAACCCAGAGCAAGGAAAAAAUGGGCCUUUGCUUCUUAAAGCCGGUCAGACUGUCACCGCCCAGCAUACCCACACAGGAAAAAAAGACGAGACUCAUCUUAUUUUCAAACUACUAGGUUACCAGCAUUUUGGUGGCAAAAGGAAGAGAAGGGCUGCAGUCUGACCUGUGCUUCGCCCAGCACGUAGCAGUUUCUAUCUCACUGAAUGCACAUGGCACUAAGAGUUCAAACUCCGCCUUAGAAAUCCGAGUUCCAUCCAGAAGUGUGCGUCCAUGGUUCAGGGAGGGAGGGAUCCCAAUGGCCUCUCGCUGAAGCCACCGUCACAAACAGGAUUUCCUAAAGAGGUCCGAGGGCACGGGAGCUCCUCUCUGUGUUGGCUCUGCCAUCUGGGCAGCUCUGUUACUCCUUCCCUAGUCAAGAGGCCCAAGGGGAGGCGGUGCUGCUGGGGGACUCUCUUUCCUAUUGUUCCUCAGGCCUCUCACUUCCCUUUCAUCUCUGGUAAUAGCUGGGAUUUAUGAGCAGAGCUGGAUGACCUCCCAAGUCUUCUCUUUGGCUUAUGUACCUCAUGGGGACUCCUCACCAGGCCCCCCUGGCUUUGGCUUCCCUCACCCCAGCUGUAUCUGCCUGGAAGCGUGGCUUCCUCUCUGCAUUUGUUUAACCAAAUGCUAAGGACUCAUAAAGGGAUGCUGCAACCCUUAUAGCCCGACGAUGAACGCGCACUCGAGCCACCAUUUCCCACAGGACACCGAAGCCAGGCCUUGCUUCCUUAAGAAUACACUACUUCUGUGGCAUGCAACACGGAGUCCUUGCUAAUUAGUCAACUAAACGUCUCCAAAGUCUACCCAAGGACUAACUUCAUGAAGUCUCUGUUGCUCUAGCGUGGUUUGGGAAACACUUAAUCUCUUCCUUUUAAAAAACCCCAACCACACAGCUCAGCACAUGCAUUCUCGUGGUCUAACCUGCCCACUUUGCUGGUCUAACCUGCCCAGUUUGCUGUACUUGCUCCUGUGCUCUCACUCCGAAGCCAUUCACCGACAGACUUCCUCAGGGUCCAGAAUAAGCAUCUCGUGAGAGUUCCAGGGAACUGGAACGCACACUCACUGAGAGAUAACGGGCAGUCUUGGAUGCAGUUUCAUUUCUUAUGAACACUGGCUGAAUAUGUGAGUGUGAAAAUUAGAGGAAUGACGCCAGGGUCGACACUGAAUUAAUGCUUAACUAUUUAGAUUAAUUUAGAAAAAAAGUUGCAUCAUUUACUAAAUGCUUUCUGGGAACGUUAACUUAAAGCAAUUAAACUGCUUUCAAUAUGUUCUUGAAUUCAGUUUACAAGCAUUUUAACGAAAAUUUUGUCUGAAAUGUUGGCUCAUAUUUCUUUUCUCUUAUUUUCUUUUCUUUUUUCUUUUCUUUUCUUUUCUUUCUUUCUUGUCCGGCUUUUGACAUUAGGGUAAUACUGGCUUAAAAAAAGAGUUUGGAAGUGUUCCCUCCUUUUUUCUAGCUAGUGAAAUAAUUUGAGGAAGAACUGUAUUGAUUCUUUGAAUUUUGUGCUAAAUCUUUCUGGCUCUCCGGGCACUGUUGAAGUCUACCUAGAUUAUCUAUUUCAUGUUGAUUUAAUUUUGGUAGGACACACACACAGAUAAAUAAAUGGAUCCAUUUCUUUUUGGUUUUCUAGUUCAGUGGACUAUUGCUUUUUUGAGGCAGGGUUUCUCCAUGUAGCCCUGUCUUUAAACUCAGAGAUCUGCCUGCCUCUGCCUCCCGAGUGCUGGGAUUAAAGGUGUACAGCACUACUACGUAGGUAAAAUCGCCUGGCUAGAAUAUAGGUUUUUAAAGUAUGUCUUCAUAAUUCACUGAGUUUCUUAAGUGUCUGUUGUGUUGCCAUAAUGCCAAUACUAUGUAUUGAGUCUCACUAAUUUGAAGUGAAAAGUGUGGGGGAGGGGCGGGGAAGGCAGGGAGAGAGAGGGGGGGGGGUCGACUGGUGUCUGGAUGUCCUGGCCUGCUUAUUUUAUAUAGAAAGUUUAAACCAUGUCCGCUUUAGGUAUUUCUUGGGUCCAACAAGCCAGAAAGCCCCAUUUAUGCAAUAUUUGUAUGUUUCGGGGAAGAACAGAAACUAGAAUUAUUGCUAACCCUAAUUUCAAAGCUAGGUAUUUCAAGCAGAGCAUUUCUGCUUGAAUUCUGCUGAAUUCUCAUUAAAAAACAAAGGGAAUAGUAGUCAUCAAUUUUCACCAAAAGGGAGAACAGUGAGCACAGGGACCUUAAGUCACUGGUCUGUGGCUCCAGGGCUAGGGAGUAGAAGGGCUGGGAUUUAAGCCCAGGCAAUCGGAACAUGGUGUCAACCUGUGUUUAGCUGCUUCGGAGUUUUGGAGCUACAGAGCACGCAGGCAUGUUUCUGUGUUGCUGAAGUGAUCACACUGUGGAGAGAUUCCAUGCACCUUCAGUGUUGCAGUGCAGGCUUCUAUAAGCAAGGAGCCUUUAGAGCUCGAGACACACGAAAACCAUGGCCCUGGGCUAACACCUCCUAAAAAAAUCCAUGAGUUUUACGACUGUACCAUGAGAGAUAAAACACAAACCGAGUAGCACGUGUCCACAAAACUAUCUCCCCUUUGCGUAAUUUCUUCCUCUCACCAAUUUGCUACCAUAUACAAGCCCGACUCUGAGUAAACAGGCGGAGAGGCAGCAAACACUCCACCCACACUCUUAAUUACAGCCUCUGCAAGGCUCCUCUGUCUGUACGGCUAAUCUGUAAAGUAUUCCCCACAAAAUGACAUACACGUUCAUAUAUAUCCCCGCCCCCACGACCAAUCUCUUCAUCUACACUUGUAGCUACAGGCUUCCUGGGAGUUUUCCUGGCCUCAGAGCUGGGUUGCUCUUGGUGUAAACAACUCUCAGCCAGCCGUCGAGUGACAGCUUUUCGCUGUUACACGUUCUAAGGUGUUCACUGCUUAUCCCACUGCUAGAAUGUGUGCUGUGGCCAUGGCGUCCCAUGCAGGUUUCAUGCAUUCCUAUUGCUGCUGCAACUACUUCACAGUCAGCUGCUUAAAGUAACCGAGUGCCAUCUCACGGUCCCGUGUGGGUCAAAGCCCAGGUCCCGCAUGACCCGGCUCACUCACUGUUCCACUUCUGAUAUCUGCAGAGCUAGGGGCAUUCUGGAAGUUACAGGACUGAAUGUGCUUCCACUCUUGGUCAAGUUGUUGGCUAAAGUCAAUUCAACAUGGUUCUGUAACUGACUCUUGAUGGCUGCGAGCCAGGGCAUCACUUCACUCCUAUCAGCCUCUGUCUAGAUCCUGAUGUACCCACUGCACACAGCUGAGCAUCCAGCUCUAUUUAGGCUGCAAGUUCUCUGAUGCUCCUUUCUGCCUCUGUGCUGAGAAUGUUUCUAUCCAUCCAUUGACCUAUCUAUGUAUCUAUCUGUGCAUCUACCCACCCAUCUACCUAUCUACCUACCUAUCUAUCUAUCUAUCUAUCUAUCUAUCUAUCUAUCUAUCUACCUACCUACAUACCUAUCUACCUGUCCAUCCAUCCAUCCAUCCAUCAUCUAUCUAUCUAUCUAUCUAUCUAUCUAUCUAUCUAUCUAUCUAUCUAUCUAUCUACCUAUCUACCUGUCCAUCAAUCCAUCCAUCCAUCCAUCCUCUAUCUAUCUAUCUAUCUAUCUAUCUAUCUAUCUAUCUACCUACUUUCCUACCUAUCUACCCAUCUACCUACCUAUCUACCUGUCCGUCCAUCCGUCCGUCCGUCCAUCCAUCCAUCCAUCCAUCCAUUAUCUAUCUAUCUAUCUAUCUAUCUAUCUAUCUAUCUAUCUAUCUAUCUAUCUAUCCAUCCAUCCAUCUAUCUACCCAUCUAUCUACCCAUCUACUUAUCUAUGUACCUAAUCUAUCCAUCUACCUGUCUGUCUGUCAACUACCUACCUACAUUCCCACCCACUUAUAAAAGACCCACAGGGUUAGACUGGGUGGCAACCCGUUCUUCUAAGGUUUAUAAUCUCACAUUCCCACUGGGCGGGACUCUUUACCAGUGGGCAUGGAACCUUGUCAAUCCCUUAACAACGGGUAAAGUAUGAGGGGAAGGAAGAGCAAGGCCAGUUGCAUGCAUGCAUCAUCACAGUAAGGUUACAACAAGAGCAUUCCCAUGUGGGAAAACACCAGCGUACAGUGCUUUUACGGUUCAACACCUCAUACAUUUUACUGACAUAUUACUACUAAAGAAUUUCACUCACGCUGAAUAUUCAUUAGAUUUGUGUACUAGCAUAGAUUGUCUUUAAAGAAAUGAGUUGAUUCCAGUAAUACCACCAGAUGGAAGAAAUUCUUCAAAAAGUUGAACUUGAUGUAUUUUUGCAUUCUGAAUUCCUGAAUUCUAAGUGACUGUUACUCUUUGCUCCCGGCCUCUCUGAAACUAUUCCAUCUCUAGUUUUCAUUUGGGCCUACUCUCCUCUGUAUUCUAAAAGGUCUUUAGAGAAUGUUGCUUUUUUAAAGUCACUGGUGGGCUAAAAUGAGGCAUGACUUUAGUCAUACUUAAUUAGGCCUUUAAAUCUGAUGGUACGCUCUUGCCUGAGGGGGAAUUUCUGAAGUCCAAUUACAGGGUUAUUCUCAUAAUAAGGACUAAUAAGUUGUAAUGAAAUUAUUUGCUUUUAAGCCUCAUCCAGAUGUUGUUUUAAAAAAUAUCCUUACCCAACCACAUUCCUACAGGGUUAUUAGUGUGACCAGUACAAACAGGUGAGGUCUGCUGGAGUCCUAGCUCCCCUGAGAGCUUUGGCAGAGAGGUGAGCACUGGGUCAGGAACAGUUUCAUCUUGUAUCCAUCAUACGAUGCCAUUCUAUUCCCCAAGUUCUAGCCCCACUAUCCCCUCAGUUGGCUCACAAAUAUGUUCAACUAACACUUGGAAGUUUCGACACUGAUUUAUUUACUCUGUGUGGGUUGGGUAGGGUAUACACUUGGGAGGGCAGAGGACUGCUUUUGUCAGUCAGCUCUCUCCUUCCACCAUGCAGGUCCUUGGGAUUGAACUCAGGUCAACAGGCUUAGCAACAAGUGCUUUUCUUGGCCAAGCCAUCAUACUGGUCCUCCAGCUGAUAUUUAACCAACCCAUACAUAAUUAUGGAAUCCUCGAGUAUGUGACACUUUCUGCUGAAGUUCAACAUUCUUCACAGAUUCUUCUCUUCCUUUCAAAAAGACGUAGUUUUCUCUACUCUCAAAAGGAGCUGUGUGUUCCUUAAACUUCAAUGCACUGGACAGCCAAAUCCCACGCCUGUGUCUUAGUGGUUCAAGCAUAGGUGUAAGUCAUAAGCAGUCCUGCGGGUGAACCUCAAGACUCCAGCUCAGACAGAAGAAUGACUUCUUUAUCCAGGCAUCCUGGUGGGCAGAUGUGCGAGUCUGGAAGGACCACACUCACUGCGCUGUGAGCGAGGACAGCUUUGAAGACACGAAGACACAGACGAAACCCAGCCCCAGAGCUCUCCCAGAUCUGGAAUCAUGAGUUCCGAAAGUCAAACUUCUAGUUGAUCCGAAUCAAGUUUCACACUCACAGGCUUGAGCAAGUAGUGCUGUUGUUCGGGGACGGUCCCCACACGCUGAAACUUUCUUCUCAGUUUGGCAACGUGUUUCUUUGGUAAUAGUUGGGAUCACCGCUUCCCGACCAUCAGCUUCUCAGCUCAGGUUUCCACCUGCAGUCCUUCAUAUCUGUCAUCUCGUCACCGCACGGGACCCUUUGUUGUCGUCCUGUGUCCUCAUCACGGGUUCUGUGUCUCCGUCCAAACGAGCUUUGCUACUGCAGGUGGCUCCACUACGUUUCCACAGCUGGUUCAGCUCUCUUUCCAGCUCCGUCUGCACAGGUCUAGAAAGUGCGAUCCAUGUGGCUUUUGGUGCUGUCCAGCAGGCUGCCUUCUGGCUACUGCUGUGCUACCUUACCAUCUUUUAGCAAUUUCCUUUUGAUUCUUUUUUUUUUUCUGAUCAACUACCAUCUUCUGAAUUUUAUUUCUUUUGAAUCUCUGGAUAGUUUUCUUUGUUGUAUUAUAUUCUUCUCAAAAGUUGUAUUUUUUUUUCUUUUAGCUUUCUCCCUCUCGUUCUAAAAGAAGCAACGUGCAUUUAUCAUUUAUUAAUCACGCAUUAUUUAUUUAUCUAUGGACUGCGUGUGUGUAGUCAACACACCUAUAAUUACUCUGAACUCACGUUCGCUGCUCUCUGAGUUGCUAUUCCAUAUCACGAAUCUUACAUAUGUGAGAUAAUGUUGCUCACACACUAAUCUUCAUCUGCAGAUAUUCCAAUCACUUCCUCCGGGAAGCCUGGCCUCUCUUUCAUGGUCCCAUGGAGCUUCCAAUAGGAACAGGAAUGAACACACACACACACACACACACACACACACACACACACACACCCCAAAUUCACGUCACCCUUUGUUUCCCCCUUUGUGUUUAUGUUGUACUCAUUCACACCUAAAUAGCGAACGAUUCCUAGUCCUACUCAGUAAAUUACAGCAUUUGUAUUUUUGAAUUUGGCAACAAACUGGUGCAAGAUACACACACAAAAAAAAACCCCUUCAGCAUAGUGCAAUAUAAGAGAAGGUAGGUGUGUAUGAUCACGUUGAACACUCUGUAUUUUGAAUGGUUAAAAUGGGGAGAGGAGAGAGGAGAGAGAGACCAAGAGAGUUGUGAAGUGGACGUUUCUGGUUGUGGUAUGUGAUGUAGUUUGUUGAGGUAAGACUCAUAUUGUGGGGGACACAUGAUGUUUGCAGGGAGUAUAAAUAAGACUAAGUGAACCGUGAUGUGCUGGGGGGCAUUUGCAUAGCUAGCCUUCGUUGGUCUUGCAUCUUUGCUGUCGUUGAGAGAAGCACAACAGAGAACUCCUGGCACCCCUGCUGGUCCUGGUUGCUCCACUGACUCAUGCAGAUUUGACAGAGGCCUGGCAGUUUCUGAUGGAUCAUGUUGUCAUUGCUGAUCUGCGUCUGGUGGCACAUCUAAACUGGACUCUUGGUAUCCUGACACAAGUGAACUGGACUGCUGGUACCCUGACACUAGUGAACUGGACUGCUGGUACCCUGACAAACGGAGAUUGAAAUUGCUCCAAAGGACUUCUCCUAAACAGGUCCACAUCCCCUUGUCCUAUUUACCACCUUUUCUCCCCUACCUUUGGACCCAUUUGGCUUGAAGGGGAGUUGAACCUUAUUAAGUAGCGUUUUGUUUUUUGUUUUUUGUUUUUUUUUUAAAUCUAAGUCUACAAAGCAGGUGGGAAAGAAAGAGGGAAAGGGGGACAGAAGAGAGGAAGUUGAGUGAUGUGGAAGAGGAGAAAAGGUGAAGUGGGGGAGAAAAGGAGACUCAGCUUUUAUAACUCUCAGUGUUAAACGGGGUUGUUAAAUGCCAGUUCCCCAGGUCUAGGGCAAAGCCAUAGUGGAGGCAGACUUUUAGCCUGGUACCCAGAGAAGCCUUAGCUCAAGAACCAGACACAGAAGACAAUGGCUGUCAGACGGGGCACCCACUGUCAGCACCACCUAUCUCUUCCACAGGCCGUCUUUUGCCAUACUUUACCACUUGUUGUAACUUUAGCACUGAGAGAAGGAAAAUAAAGGAACACGGUGAAGCAGCAUGACCUUAAUAGUCAUCUAAAAUAACUCUAUUUACUCCUAUUUAUUAUCUUGUCUAGGAAACCUGCACGAGUGCUAUAAAGCGACAGAUACACCAUGCUGGAGUUUCCAUGGCCAGACUGGACUUGGAUUGGAGGUUCAGGGCGCAGCUAACAUUACUUGGUCCAGGCCUGGAAUUUGUUUUCUAUCAUUAGGAGACACAAUCCUCCUGUCCACCUGUAAAGCAGUUCUUGUUCCCAAAGGUGAUGUACGAACAAAGAUCUCAGACACAGAGACUCCCCAAGUACAAUCAAUGUCUGCACUGGAGAAUCGUUCUGGGGAAGACCUGCUGGUGUUGAUGAAGGCCAACUUAUAGAUGUGAACGGGUGCCCAAGGCACAGUUCUACAGAAGCAAAGUAUGCUGUUGUUAGGGUGAACUGUGGACAUUAUAUACUGUCUCGGUUUAGUUACUCUUUAAAGCUUCAAAAGCCC